GACCAGGUAGCUCAGUUGGUUAGAGCAUUGUCCCGAUAAGUCAAGGUUGUAGGUUCGAUCCCUGGUCA
rfam:Myotis brandtii contig175389, whole genome shotgun sequence.